rnacentral:lncRNA from 1 species
CCCAUGCCAGCCACAACUCACAUUUACUUACCCCUCUGUGGACCCAGUGAUCACAGCCACUGUGUCGGCCAGUGCACAGCUCCUGUCUGCCCCAGUGCUGUGCAUUCUCACUGAGAGAGGGGCCAAGGAGCAAAGAAGAACCCCAAAAGUCCACAACACAGCCCUCAAGCAUGGUGGCCAAUUUUCAGGCCUCCCUCCUGCUGGACCCAACCCUGGGAGGAAGUCAAAGAUGAGUCUCCAUGGUGGCGUCUCUGUGACAUCUCUGGCCUGGCUCUACCUCCUACCGUUCCAGCAUCCCCUGCCUCCUUCAGAAGAUUGAAGAAUGGAGCAUCUACUCUUUUUCUGCCUUUCCCUCCUGCCUAAGCCAGGCUCAUGCGCAGCCUUC